rnacentral:lncRNA from 1 species
GACUGGAGUGAUAGUAUGGGUAGCUGAUGCUGCUAGAUGGGGUAGGGAUGGCCUGGAACGGUAUGCAGUAAAUGCUACAUUAGGUGGGUGGGGCGGAAUGGUGAUGCUGUAAGGUUGGUUUGCUGAAGCAAGGUCUUGGACCGAAUGGGUGAAAAGGCUUUGAUGGUGUCACAGCUUUUGGGUGCAGUAAGGGGCAUCACGAAGUAGGAACGCUUUGGUUGCCUUUUCACAUGUGUUAUGGCAGGUCUUUGUAAUCAUAGCAGCAACACUCAAUUCUCAGGGUGCAACACGGACACUGUGCUGAACGUGGAGGUAGAAUCUGUUAGCAAAAUGUGGUAAAAAGUGAAUGGGUCCAUGAUGCUUUUCUGGUCUAAGAAACUGAAAGUGCCUAUGGCUUUCGGUGGGAGACUUGCAUCCAACUCUGAAGCAAUUAUGCAGUGGUCAUUUUCUUAGUUUUUCCAAGUGGAUCACGCCUGAGGUGGGGCAGGGGUUUUUCUUAUAGCUAAGUUGUGUACUCACUGCUGUAGUAUAUUCUGUCAUAUAUAGUUGUAUGCUUAAGCUUUGAACACUUUUUGUAUACGGGUUGGGACACCCCUGAAGUGUCCCGUUCUAUUUCAUUAAUUCAUUGCUGAUAAAAAAAAAACAAAUAUAACCAGAGUAACCACCCUUCAUCCAACUUCCAUGUAUCAGAUUAUUUGGUGCCAUCUGAUUACAGCACCUUCAACUGCACCUUACAGAGCUCCCUUCACAAAACUUAUCCACAGCACAUGAUUUGAACCAUACAAACCUUGUGCCACCUUGCAUGUCAAGACCAGAAAAGUGGCUUCUAUUUAGGGUCAACUUCAGCUGACAAAAGGCUUCCCGAAUUCCGCCAAGACCAGAGUCAUACAAGCAGCUUGGUUGCCACUUAGUAAAAGAGCUUCCUACGCUUGGUUAAGGCAUUUGAACAUUUUUCCAAUGGAGCACGGCUCCAGAUCCACAUCUUCGUAGAUGAGGUUCCUCCCUAGGAAAGCAAGGUGGUCUAGUUCCACCCAAAGCCAGUAAAGUCCAACUGUAGCAGACCUGCAGCAAGACACCCUUAAGCAGCACCAGACAACACCUAGAAAACAAAAAGCAUACAGCUCCUAGACACAAUUCAACAACAACUUUGAAGUCUCUUAGACUUCUGAACCUUGUCCACACCAGCUUGAACUUGUGCAAGAAUCCCUCGUGAUUCGCUUAAGCUUCAUUACAAUCUUCUUAGAACCUGUACUUAAUUCUACUUUCACUCAGCAAACCUUCAGAUCCCUUAAUAUGGCAAGACAAAUCCUAAAAUCUAAAACAGACCAUCAGGAUCAAAUUUUCCAACAUCUCUCAAGCUGGCCAAAAAGCCCAAAUCCAUAUGCUUCUCUUGAUAGCCCCAUACUAGUAGCCAUUACACUUUUUGAAUUUUUACAUUCAAUUGUGUAGCUUUGCAUACUAGAUUCAUAGUUACUGUCCCACCAACACCUCCAUCUGUGUCAUGGCCCUAUACUUUCACAUUUCAUAUGACAGCAACACCCUCUUGGUCCUUAAUUCCUUGCCCAAUAAUCCAGCACAUUAGAAUACCUGCAGAAAAAUGCGAGUAGAUGUUUUAUAGUCCCUUUCACACCAAACUCCAUUCUAAAUGCACAGGGCCAUGACACGGGUUGGUGUUGCUCCAACUAUAGGGUGGACCUCUCAAAACCCACCAGUGCCUAGCCCCCAAACUCCAACAGUCCUCUAAAGUGAGCUUUAUAUUGGGGGGAAUACUACAACAGUUUGCACUCCCAUCCUGACACAGCCCCCACUUAUUCCUCCAACCAAUUAGAGCUGAUCACUAAACCCUAUGUCCAGGCCUUUAGACCAGAUAUGCCAACAAACCUUCCGUUUCUCUAGGGACCACUAGAUACAUCACUUAACCCCACUUACUUAUAGCUUCCAAUGCAGAUAAGUGGGUUCAAGACCCAAUCCACAAAAGAAUAGUUGAAUGUGUGUACCCUAUCCUUUAGUCAUAGUCACGACUUGAGUUGGACCGUUUGGAAUAUCUCUUCCGCAUCAACUAUCCCUUGCUUAAAAAUUAUAGAGUUCCUGUGCUCCCAGAUACACCUCACUAUAGCUGCCAAAACACCUUUCCACAAUAGGUUUUGUGUACUACUGGCCUGAGAUAAGUAGAAAUUCUCAAAGUGAGUCAUAAGAUCAUUGUGUUGGACAAACAAGAUACCAAUCCAUUUAAAGCACAACAACCAAACAGCCUGGGCAACUUUGCAUUCUAGGAAUAGGUGUUGGCAUGAUUCAUCCUUAGUCUGACACAACGCACAUAAACUUGUGUCCAACGUCACCCCUCUCCUACUCAAACUCUUUCUUGUUGGGAUUCUUCCCAAGAGUACCCUCCAUGUUGUGGUUAUCACAUUGAGGAAUGCUUUAGCCUUCCACAGGUACUUGAACACAUCAUGAUGAGGACCUAUUACAUGCUUAGCUAGACAUUCAUAUCUGAAUUCACAAAGAACACCCUUGAUUCAUCACACCUCCACUUCUGUAUAUCUUUAUCUUCUGUAGACAUGUUAGCCCGAGAAAUGUGCAUAACAAGAUUUGCUUCCAUGACGGCUUCCCACUCGAAUCUGACUCGCCUCCAUCUUAGAUUCAACUUCCAUACUGAUUCUUUCCACAUUCCAACCUCUUCCACCUUUUGGACCUGAUUUAGAGACAGGAAGUACAACCUGGGAAACAAAGUUUUGAGGUUAGUAUUACCAACCCACACAUCCUCCCAAAAUCUAACUUUGUCUCCACCUCCUAUUUUUCAUACUAAUUCUUCUUGGAACCAACCAACUCCUCCUCCCUCUCUACAUACUUUAGAUAAGUCUCUCCACCAACAGGUUUGGAAUUUCACUGGUGUAUGUGAACUGUCUAACUCCAAGCCAUACUUUGAGUCCAGAAACUCCUUCCACCUUCCUUUCUCUUCUGAUAAGAGACGUCAUCUCCACUUAGCCAGGAGAGCAUAGUUAAACUUUCGUAUAUCUUUGAACCCCAGUCCACCUUCCUCUUUCGGUUUACACAGGUCUUCCUAGCUUACCCAAGAGAUUGGUCUCUUCUCCUUUCCCCAACCACAUAGGAACCUUCGUUGAAUAAUGAUUAUGCUUUUAUAUACCUAGUCCGGCUCUUUGAAGAGGGAGAGGUAGAAAAGUGGUACAAUAGUGAUAACUGAUUUGAUUAGACAUAUUCUCCCCGUCAUGGAUAGAAAUCUCCCUUUCCACACACUGAGUCUAGCUUUUAACUUGUUUAGAAUAGGCUCCCAAAACUGCUUCUUCCUUGGGUUCCCUCCCACUUCUAGGCCCAAAUAUAUAAACGGGACUCCCAUCUGCCCAUAAUUCAAGGUCUUUGUGUAGCAUACAAGAGCGUUUCUAUCAACAUUGAUGCCUGCUAGCUUGGAUUUGUGAAAGUUAAUCUUCAAGCCUGAUGCUAGCUCAAAGCCCCUAAGAAUAGCCUUCAUAGUUACCACAUUGACAUAGGCAUCCUCACAUAAGAAGAGAGUAUCAUAUGCAAAUUGCAUGAUACUAAUCUCUACCUCCUUCCUUCCAAUCUUAGUACCUGACAAUAGGUUGGCCUAUUGGCUUCCCUUACUAACCCGGCUAGGCCUUCAGCUACCACAAUAAAGAGAAAUGGGGCUAAUGGGUCACCCUGCUUCAAACCUCUUGUUCGUUUAAAUUCCUCCGUAGGACUCCCAUUAACUAGCACGAAGACGGUAGCGGAUUCCAUACAGCAUCAGAUCCAUUUUAUCCAUUUGCUGUGGAAACCCAACCUGUGAAGCAUAUCAUAUAAGAAAUCCCACCUAAUCGAGUCAUAAGCUUUUUCAAAAUCCACCUUAAAGCACAAUCCUUUCCCGUCGUACCUCUUCAGAUCUUCUACCACUUCAUUAGCCAUAAGCACACUAUCCAGCAUCUCUCUGUCCUUUAAAAAUGUUGAUUGGCUUUCAUCGAUAACCGAUGCUAGCACUUUCUUUAUUCUGCCAGCCAACACCUUUGAUAUGACUUUGUAUAUUGCGCCCACUAGUGAGAUAGAACGAUAUUGUUCUAGCUUGGUGGGGUCUCUUACUUUAGGUACUAAUGCAAUGAAUGAUGCAUUACACCCUUUCAGAAUUUGUCCUGCUUCAUGAAAGUAAGCUAAAGAUGCAACAAACUCAUCUUUGAUAAAAUCCCAACUUUCCUUAAUAAAGUUGAAAUUAAAUCCAUCAGGAUUAGGACUCUUUGACCCAUCACAUUGCCAUACUGCAUCCCUCACUUCUUCCUCGGAGAAAACAAAUAUAAGACUCACGUUGUCUUCGGGGGAAAGAGAUUUAAACUCUACCGCAUCGAGUCUUACCCCGAAAUCUCUUGUUGCUUUAAACCUAUUUUCAAAUAGCUUCUUCGCUUCUAUUAGAACGGUAUUAGGUUCUUCACACCAUUGGCCCCCAACCUCAACUCCCUUGACUUCAUUUUUAAGUCUUCUCCACCUUAAGGAAGAAUGGUAGAACCUAGUGCAGGAAUCCUCAUUCUUCAGCCAACUUGCUCUAGUCUUUUGACAUAUAAGGGAUUCUAUCUUUUUAUCAGUCUCCCUUAGUCGGUUCGCCAGUUCAGUUCUUUUCAACCUCACACGUCCCAAGAGAUCACCAUUGUCGUCGUCUUGGCAAUCUAGGAUCUCUAUUUCCUGCAGGAUGCUAUUCUUGGUUGACUCUAGGUUCCAAACACAUCUUUAUUCCAUAGUUUUAAGUCAACCUUCAGCAAUUUUAGCUUUUCUUUGAUCUUCGUUAUUUCAUUCCCCUGUACUAAGUAUGAUUGCCAUUUUCCUUUCACCAAAUCAUUAAAACCCCUCUCCAUGUGCCAGACGUCAAUGGUCCUAAAAGGUUUAGGACCCCAAUCCUUAUCCACGGUCUUCACCACUAACGCACAGUGGUCUGAAACUUCCCUCCUCAGGACAUAUUGUUUGCACAUUGGCCAUUUUUGUAGCCACUCUUGAGAGACAAGAACUCUGUCUGGUCUACUUUUAGUCGAACCAUUUGACUUAAACCACAUAUAUUUCUUACCUACUAUAAGUAAAUCCAACAAUAAGUUGGAGUCGAUGAAGCUAUUAAACCCAAAUAUCUCACUUGAUUGGUCUCCCCUGUUCCUUACACCUUUCCUUUCACUUCUGCUUCUUAUGGCAUUAAAGUCACCACAGAAGCACCAAACUGAGUCUUGAGAUGCCACUUUAAUAUUGGUUAGUUCCUCCCAUAGAAUCUUCUUUUCACCCAGAUGCAGCGUAAAUAUUUACUACAACACACCUACAGUUCGAUUUUAGGUGCUGACCAAAUAUAGCAAUGUACCCCUCCCCCAUCUGGUGACUUUCAAAACUAAAAGCUUCUUUGUGCCACAUUGACAACAAACUUCUAGCUCCGUUGUCCCCUUCAUUGUGUAUCCAUUCAACUUUGUUGUCCCCCCACAUAGAAAAACAUCUAGGAUGCGAAAAGACAGUUGUUUUUAUUUCUUGCAGACAUACAAAUUCUGCUCCCUCACAAGUGAUGAUAUGCCUCAUGUACCUAGCUUUGGUACCUCCUCCCAAACCUCCAAUAUUCAGGUUUACUAUCAACAUAAAUAACCACUUUUGUUACCCUCCUCAUAACUCUGCAUAACCUCCAAAUCUCUCACAUCCAUACACUGAAAUUCUUUCACAACCUCUACUUCAUCCCCACGGCAAGCGAUGCCAAUAUGUUUAUUAAUCUCCCAUAGCUUUGAUGGUUCCUCCAUAUAUUCCGACUCACGAUAUCUUGAGUUGCAAUUAUUGAUAUCCCCAUCAGAAAUGGUACAAAAUUCUUUCCUACACAAGAAUGAGAGGUAUCCCUUACCUAGGAUGUUCUUGCACUUAUUCUGACCGACCGCCUAGGGUGGGUGCUUGAUUCGCCCAAUUCCCAUAGUCCUUUCAUCUUGUGCCGUCGUGGGGGUGUUUUGCAGAUGCUUCCCACAUAUGCUUCCUCAUCUCCUAGCAAGAGAGAUACAUUCCUGCUUGGGCUAGUAUCCUUUGGUUCGUCAUUAGCUUCUUGGGCCCUAUGCAUAUCACGAUUAUCUUGUAGACCAUCUUGCUCCCACGGUUUCAGCAUCAAUCCGACAAGCGGCUCGGGUUUAGCUGGUUGCCUCAACGUGUUUUCUUCGUUGGAUUCUUCCUCUAGCACCUGCACCACCGAAGCUGUAGCUUGACAUUCGUAUUCUCCAGUAUCGAUUUUCUCUUCGCACCCUGACCCACAACCCAUCUGCAUAGACCCUUCAUCUCCCUCUUCCAAUUGGGCCAACGCACAACCCUUCUCUUGUCCACUUCGGGCCAAUUGCUUCCCCUGUUGGGCCAAGGAAGUAUUGGGCUUACGCUGGGUAAAGUUGUUCUCAACAUCCACCACAAGUCUAGCCAGCUCAGCGUGUUCAGAGAGGCUAUCACUAUCGGGGUCGCAGAUGUAGGUAGAGUGGUUGGCAGGAUCAACCUCUUCAGAUACCUUCAGACCCUUCAUUCCUUCAUUAGUGAAACUCUUAAAAACUUUUUCCUGGCUUACCUCUCCUUUCGUUGCAGAUACCUCAAAUGGUUUAUCCUUUGUCGUAUGCGCUUCCUGUUCCCCACCUUCAUCUGCCUCUCCUUCCUCCGCCUCCCCCUUUGACCCGCGGUCCUUCCUAUCCCAAACCUUGACCUCCUCCUCACAGCUUUUCGCAAAUAAGUCUGUUUCUUCUAUAUAGGUCUUCGACAAAGAGAUACUAUCAAAACACUCAUAAACAUUGAGGGCACACUUACAUUGGCUUUCAUUUAUUGUUGAGUUCUCCUCUUCAAUGAAUAUAUUGAACGUUUGGUCAUUUAUCUACAUACCCUUCGCCAACCUAGCGUUACAGUUCUUCAAUAAAUGAACUUGAAGUCUGGCGUAUUCAAGGUUCUCCCAUAAUAACGUGGACUUAUCAAUGGCCACCAGCUUUGCCACUUCUCCUACCACUUUAGAAAAAUAGUCCUUGUUCCAGAAGGUGAUCAGCAAACCAUAGCACCUCACCCAGACUAUCUUAUGGCCUGCUACAUAAUCUUCCAACCAAGGGUCAACGAUCUCAAAGACACUUUCGAACCACUCCUUGUUAAGUUUCAAAAGAUCUUCCAUGCUCUCCCCUUCUCUUGGCGUCAGGAGAGUUAGGUUGUCACCCAAAUACCUCACUUUUAUCAUGUUCAUUCCUCCUUUCACAAAUUCUUCUCCCAGUUGGGCAAAGUUCAUAUCUAUAUUGAACUGGCCAAUGACACUGUUUUCCAUCCACGACAAUACAUGAUGUUGCGUCUUGAUAACAGGUCCCUUCCAUUUCUGUUGCAAUUCACCUUUAACUAUGUCAGCAUAGGAUUUGUUUCCUUUCUUUUCCACCCAUACCUCUUUUCUCUUCAUCUUCCCGUUUAACACCGGAACCUCCUGGAUUCGCUUCUUGGUAUCCUUUGGGAUCUCCUUGUGUAGGAUUCUGUUUUCCCUUCUCGAUACUCUGUUAGAUUCCAACUCAUGCCUUCGAUAUCUUGGAAUGUUCACGUAAAGCUUCAUGUUUCCUAUAUACACUACAAGAAAAUCAUGAAAUAGAAACCAAUUUUUAGAGACCAAAAUAAUUAGUUGCAAUGGUAACUAAAUUAGAUACCAUUUUAGAAAAUAAAAAAAAAUUUGGUUUCUAAAUUAGUUUCUAUUAUUGUUAAAUAGUUUCUAAAUUGGUAUCUAAUUAGCAACCAAGGUUUUAAAGACCAAAUUUAGAAACUAAAUAAUUGGUAGUUAAAACUUUGGUUGCUAAUUAGAUACCAAUUUAGAAACUAUUUAACAAUAAUAGAAACUAAUUUAGAAACCAAUUUUUUAUUUAGUUUCUAAAAUGGUCUCUAAUUUAGUUACUAUUGCAACUAAUUAUUUUGGUCUCUACAAAUUGAUUUCUAUUUCAUGAUUUUCUUGUACUGAUAGAUUUGGUCUAGCUCCCUCUCCAGUCGUCCUGCAUUUCUCACUUCAAAGAAUCUUACAAACCCAAAUCUUCUCUCCCAUCUGUUUAGCCUACGGGAUAUGAAGACUUCUUUUACCCUAGUCCAUUUUUGGAAGACCUUAAUCAUGUCUAGUUCACCAAAGCCAUUUGGGAAGUUUGAGAAGAAGAAUGUUGUAAAAUCAUAUGUAGGUUUAUGUGGUUUGUGGUCAUACCCAUGGCCACCGUAUCUCUGAGUUCUUCUCCCUUCCAUUUCUCUUGGGUUAAGUUCUUUGUUGCAAAGUUGAUGUCUGAAUUUCUAUGUGGGGUAUUGGCUGGACCAAUUAAUGAACAAUGAUUGUGAAAAUUAAUUUUUUGUUUGUCUUAUAAGUAGUAGAAUUUAAAUAUAUUAUGAUAAUUAUAUAUGCAUGUUUCUCUCUUUAUGUAGAUGGAGAAUAAUGGUGGCUUCAAUGUCUUCGUCAAUCCCAAUGUGGACUACGCAUUCAUAGUGGCGCUACUUAUGAUUGUUAAGGACAUGAAUUGUUGUGAUGAGCCCCAGAAUAGUACAAAUACAAAUAAAACUAUUAGUGCCCUAAAAAUAAUUUCAUUAUCUUUUUGAAGUAGCUAAAUAAAUAUAUUGAAUAAGAAAAUAUAAAUAAAAGUGAGGAAAUAAGUUUGGAGUCCUCCCUAAUGUACUUAUAUAGAUGUCUGUUGUAUUAUGUUGUAUAUGGCUAUUUCUUUAUCUUUUAUUAUAUCAAUGACAGUAAAGUUAAUGGUAACUUAUAUAGAUCCGAAAUGUGUGGGAGAAGUUUUUUUUACCUUAUCUCUUGUAAUAGCAAAACCCAAACGACACAAUUUUGUAGGCAAAACAAAAAAAAAAACAUUCAUGGUAUAGGAAAAACUUAUCUUAAAGUUAGUUAUAUCAACAAUUACCAAGUUGAUAUGUUAUGUAAAUAACUUACUCACGAAUUAUUCUUUGAAUAAUAACUUAGUUAUAGGUAAGUUACCAUUGAAUAAAUUUGUGAAUAACUUCGUAGAUCAAUGCAUGCAUGGAUAACUUAUCUAUAGAAUUUCUUUUAGCUAAAUCAUGCAUGGACUUUUUUUUAUGAAUAAAUCCAUAAGAAAUAGUAAGAAUAUUUUUCGUCUUCCAAGUCAUGCCACUCUAUACUUCUAUAGUUACAAAUGUGAA